CCUACGGGCGGCAGCAGUGAGGAAUAUUGGUCAAUGGACGAGAGUCUGAACCAGCCAAGUAGCGUGAAGGAUGACUGCCCUAUGGGUUGUAAACUUCUUUUAUAUGGGAAUAAAACGUUCCACGUGUGGGAUUUUGUAUGUACCAUAUGAAUAAGGAUCGGCUAACUCCGUGCCAGCAGCCGCGGUAAUACGGAGGAUCCGAGCGUUAUCCGGAUUUAUUGGGUUUAAAGGGCGCGUAGGUGGAUUGUUAAGUCAGUUGUGAAAGUUUGCGGCUCAACAGUAAAAUUGCAGUUGAAACUGGCAGUCUUGAGUACAGUAGAGGUGGGCGGAAUUCGUGGUGUAGCGGUGAAAUGCUUAGAUAUCACGAAGAACUCCGAUUGCGAAGGCAGUUCACUGGACUGCAACUGACACUGAGGCUCGAAAGUGUGGGUAUCAAACAGGAUUAGAUACCCUGGUAGUC
rnacentral:rRNA from 1 species